AGCCUAUGAUGUUUUCAGAGUAGUGGACAGAAGUGAUUUCUGAAAACUUGGCACUGAGGCU
rfam:Mesitornis unicolor contig8230, whole genome shotgun sequence.